rnacentral:rRNA from 1 species
AUUGAACGCUGGCGGAAUGCUUUACACAUGCAAGUCGAACGGCAGCACGGGUGCUUGCACCUGGUGGCGAGUGGCGAACGGGUGAGUAAUGCACCGGAACGUAUCCAAUAAUGGGGGAUAACGCACCGAAAGGUGUGCUAAUACCGCAUACGCCCUGAGGGGGAAAGCGGGGGAUCGUAAGACCUCGCGUUAAUGGAGCGGCCGAUGCCGGAUUAGCUAGUUGGUGAGGUAAAGGCUCACCAAGGCGACGAUCCGUAGCUGGUCUGAGAGGACGACCAGCCACACUGGAACUGAGACACGGUCCAGACUCCUACGGGAGGCAGCAGUGGGGAAUUUUGGACAAUGGGCGCAAGCCUGAUCCAGCCAUUCCGCGUGAGUGAAGAAGGCCUU